CUUCUUCCUCCGUUCACCGGCUCCCAAUCGGAGUCGGAGACAAGCUCCCUCCGGCCCUAUUUAAGGAGGAGAUCCCUCCUCUCUCCUUUCCAUCAAAAAUCUCGGGGCAAAACGGCGGCAAUCGUCGGAAAUUCCUCACGGAGACCCAUCACUGUGACGUCCAAUUUCUCGCCGGAAAAGCUUCGCCAGCGACGGAGGUAAGCCUCCUCCCCUUCCUCUCUCCUUCCCCUUCCUUCCCGUGCCGAUGUGCA
rnacentral:lncRNA from 1 species